rnacentral:tRNA from 1 species
UUUUUCUAGGUGUUAUUGCACAAAAAGAUUUGAGCUUUUAAGAGGAUUAUUAUCCAGAAAAAA